UGGCGGCGUGCCUAACACAUGCAAGUCGAACGCGUUUCGGGGGGCAACUCCCGAGAUGAGUGACGAACGGGUGAGUAACACGUGGGUAAUCUUCCCCCGAGUGAGGAAUAAGCCCGCGAAAGCGGGUCUAAUACCGCAUGACACUCCGGGACAUAAGUCUUUGGAGUCAAAGCUUUCGGGCGCUUGGGGAUGAGCCUGCGGCCUAUUAGCUAGUUGGUAGGGUAACGGCCUACCAAGGCGAAGAUGGGUAGCUGGCCUGAGAGGGUGUACGGCCACACUGGGACUGCGACACGCCCA
rnacentral:rRNA from 1 species